rnacentral:rRNA from 1 species
CUAUGCGCCUUGCCAGCCCGCUCAGUCAGAGUUUGAUCCUGGCUCAGGACGAACGCUGGCGGCGUGCUUAACACAUGCAAGUCGAACGGAGAGAGCUGGAAGCUUGCUUCUAGUAAUCUUAGUGGCGAACGGGUGAGUAACGCGUAACCAACCUGCCCUUCAGAGGGGGAUAACAACGGGAAACCGUUGCUAAUACCGCGUACGAUUACGCUUCGGCAUCGAAGUGUAAUGAAAGGUGGCCUCUAUAUAUAAGCUAUCGCUGAAGGAGGGGGUUGCGUCUGAUUAGCUAGUUGGAGGGUAACGCCACCAAGGCAAUGAUCAGUAGCCGGUCUGAGAGGAUGAACGGCCACAUUGGGACUGAGACACGGCCCAA